AUGGGAACGCGAAGAACCUUACCUAGACUUGACAUCUUCUGCAUUAAUCGUAAUGGAUGAAAUCCCUUCGGGGACAGAAUGACAGGUGGUGCAUGGUUGUCGUCAGCUCGUGUCGUGAGAUGUUGGGUUAAGUCCCGCAACGAGCGCAACCCUUAUUACUAGUUGCUACCAUUAAGUUGAGCACUCUAGUGAGACUGCCCGGGUUAACCGGGAGGAAGGUGGGGAUGACGUCAAAUCAUCAUGCCCCUUAUGUCUAGGGCUACACACGUACUACAAUGGUGGGAACAAAGAGAUGCAAGACCGCGAGGUGGAGCUAAACUCAAAACCCCAUCCCAGUUCGGAUUGUAGGCUGAAACUCGCCUACAUGAAGCUGGAGUUGCUAGUAAUCGCGAAUCAGAAUGUCGCGGUGAAUACGUUCCCGGGUCUUGUACACACCG
rnacentral:rRNA from 1 species